UCUAAAGGUGACGUGUCACCAUGAUAGAAAGUUUCGGUUUAUUUUUCAUUUCCUUGGAACAUAAUUUUUUCUUCUUCUCUCGCAAACCUCGACAAGGCGAAACGGGAGAGAUUUGUGUUCUCAUCACCGUCGUCUCCUCGUUUCCUCGUUCCGGCACAGCGCCAUCGAACUUUUAUUCCGAUAGAAGAAGAUGGAGUGUGUAGUUCCAUUCCGGCGAUGCUUUUGUCUCAAUUCGCCGGAGAUACGCCAUCGCAUCGUUAACCACAGCCGUCGCCAUCUCCAUCUCUCUAUCUCCGGCGAUGCUUUCCUCUUCUCUUCUUUGUUUCUUCUUCAUCAACACAGCUUUUUAGUCUUACUCGCUCCUUUGGUUAAUUCCAGGGCUUUGGCCUCUCUCUGAUAAGAAGAUUCGAUUUCUUGCUCCACUAGCACAGAGAAGCUCCUUGAAUCGCCGUACCGACUCCAUCGACCACCUUCCUCUUUCCAUGGUUGCAGAAACAAAUUUGGAUAAGGUUGAUUUUGUCUAAGAUUGUUGUGUUCCCGAAGAUAAUCAGAGUGAAGAACUCGGUUGAAGCUGACAUUGUGUUCCUGUUAUAAUCAGUGAUCAGAUUGAGCUUCCGUUUUGUGUUGAUACAUCAGGAACUGAGUUUAUCAAAUGUCCAGUUAAAUGUACUUGAAGGUACUCUCUGUGCUUUGGUAGAAUUAUGAUCCCAAUCAAGAACUGGCUCUGCAACAUCCACAAAAUCAAUGCUGCUAGUGGUCCCGCUGCUCCAACUGCAGGCAUCCGGAGAAUCAGACGUUAUAUCCCUAGCAUCAUCAGAUGGAUGCAGUAUAGGAUGAACAGGCUUGGACAAGAAAAAGCACUGGCUUGAGAAGUUUCGGUUAGGUUCGGAGUCACCAAUAUCUGAACAAGAUGAGAACGAACCAACGUUUCUUGAUGUACAGGAAGUUGCUUAAGAAUUUGAUCUGCGGAGAGAAACACGAAACGAUAUGAAAGCCGAUCAGAGCAAGAAAUGAUUUGAGUUGGCACGGAGAAUUUGGUUGAUGCAAUAAACCUCUUCUUGUUGCAGAAUCAAGAUGAUUAGGAGUCCAAUGAGAAAGGUCGGGACUACGAAAAACAUUAGCAUCAAAACACCUGCAACAUUUUACAACUUUGUAGACUUCCCCAAUGAGAAAGGUCGGGAAUACAUUCUUUAACCACUUUGUAGACUUCCCCAUGAUGAAUGGAACUCAGAACACCUGCAACAUUUACAAAAGCUUAUGAUUACUA